UCUCGUUGGGGGUAAAACUCCAUGUGAGAUAUCAAAGUUCCUUAAAUCUUUUGUACUAGAGGAAGGAGAAGUCGUAACAAGGUUUCCGUAGGUGAACCUGCAGAAGGAUCA
rnacentral:rRNA from 1 species